UUUUGACUCUAGAUAAAUUGUUCCCAAUAAUUGCAAAUGUUGCUUGAACCUCUCAAUCGGCUGAAGCUAGCAGAUGCUCGUCUUAAUAUGACCCAAGGAGUGCUCGAAGGUGAUAUGGUAGGUGGUUGGAGAAGAGCUUGGGGUUCUCCCUGGCAUGGAUUCUAUAUUUUCAGCCUUAGCACUUCAGAGGCAUGUAGGAUUCUCUGGGAAUGUUGCUCAAAGAAACCAGUAGGAAGAUAAAUUUGAUGUAAUUGUAUAUGAUGGUAUUAGUACUGAAGAAACUAUACAGAUGAUUGGCGCAACUAGCAAAGCAAGAUUGUACUUGAAGUAUUUUCAGAACUUGGCUGAAAAGACUGACCUUGGGAGGUUGGCUUGUUCGUCUCUCUUGAGAUUUGGAAAUGAAGCUAUUAGUUCAAGCACUAGAGGGUCCCAGCUCAAUGGGAAAAUGAGUGCAAAACUAUGGGACGAUCUAGAACAAACUCUGGAGGUAUUUUGAUACCCAUUUCAUGUUGUUAUCCUCUGUUAAUGCAAGUCAAUUUUAGAUUUGGAUUGGUUAUGUUAUGUGCACUGUAGAAAGGAUCUUCUGUCUUUUCGGAACCAAGUAUAUUUGGCUGCUACUUUGUGAUGGACCCAAACAGCCCAACUUCCGUGAACUCUGUCUGUAUGCAUAGCCCAACUAAGCAUUAGCAUUUCAUUAGCUUUCUUUUUCCCUUACUUUACUUUGUAAAUGAGGAGGUCCUUUAAAAUUACAGUGUCUAUUGUUACAUUUUUUUGUUGUGCUUAAGAGGGGGCUUUAUAUACUUUCUUUAAUUGAAAAUAUACUUGUCUCAUUUUAUAGUCACAUGGAUAUAUAGACAUUAUGGAUUUUCAUGAAAACUAGUUUCAGGUUUUUUUUUUAUUCUGUUUUUGUAGGAAAACUUCUCCACUAAUUGGACUAUUUAAUUUUGUUCAUUUUUCUGCAUGUUGUGUGGUUUGAAAAUUUAAUAAAGUCUAGAAUUAGGUGAGGCUAAGGAUUAUAAUUUCUUUAUCAAUUGAAGAAUAAGUUCAUUUAUGGAAAAUAUGCCAAUGUGUGUCCCAUGUACACUAGAGAUUCACAAAAAGAAAAUUUAAAAGCAAUUAGCUCUUAUAAUUGAAGCCAUGUUUAUAUUAUUAAGAACUUAGACUAUUGUUAAGAACUUGUAAUAAAAUUGUAGCAGUAGCAGGAUGCUUACAUAUGCUUCAUGUGCACUAAUCACACCAAUUUUCAAUUCCAUGACAGUUUACUUUAUGACAUCUGAGAUUGAGUAAUAGUUUUUGUGUUUAGUCUUGACAUUGGAUGAGAACAAUUUCCUUUAAAUUUCCAUUGUCAAUCUACACCUUUUGUAUGAUAUU